GAGGGUGAUCCCCCACACUGGUACUGAGACACGGACCAGACUCCUACGGGAGGCAGCAGUAGGGAAUAUUGGUCAAUGGAGGCAACUCUGAACCAGCCAUGCCGCGUGUAGGAAGACGGCCUUCUGGGUUGUAAACUACUUUUAUACGGGAAGAGAUAGCCUUGCGAGGUGAAGGGACGGUACCGUAAGAAUAAGCACCGGCUAACUCCGUGCCAGCAGCCGCGGUAAUACGGAGGGUGCAAGCGUUGUCCGGAAUUAUUGGGUUUAAAGGGUGCGUAGGCGGUCUAAUAAGUCAGAGGUGAAAUCCCACAGCUUAACUGUGGAACUGCCUUUGAUACUGUUAGACUUGAAUAAAGUAAAGGUAGGCGGAAUUUAUUGUGUAGCGGUGAAAUGCAUAGAUACGAUAAAGAACUCCAAUAGCGAAGGCAGCUUACUGGACUUAUAUUGACGCUGAGGCACGAAAGCGUGGGUAGCGAACGGGAUUAGAUACCCCGGUAGUCCACGCCGUAAACGAUGUUCACUGGAUGUUGGCGAUAGAUUGUCAGUGUCUGAGCGAAAGCGUUAAGUGAACCACCUGGGGAGUACGAUCGCAAGAUUGAAACUCAAAGGAAUUGACGGGGGUCCGCACAAGCGGUGGAGCA
rnacentral:rRNA from 1 species